ensembl:lincRNA
AAAGAAUUUGGAAGAAGUCUGGUGGGAGCAAGACCGAGCUCUGAGGAGGAAGUAGUUUCAGGGUGGGGCUUAUCCCGCUUAUCCCCACCUCCCGGGGCCCAGGGAUCAGCUCCAGGUUCAUACUGCCCCAUCCUGGAAACUGGUUACCCCCCUGCCCAGAGCCGGCAAAGCUGGUUUCACUCGUCCUGUGGCUGGGAUGUCUGCCUUCCUGGUUUCUUCUGCCAAACGGAGGAUGAGACCAGCACCUCCGGGGCCAGCCCUCGUGCUAACUGUGGCCCCAGCGUGCGGACGUGCAUAGAGAGGGCUCGAAGAGACUUCAACCCUAUUGUCCACAAUUGCUGGGAGCGGAACAUUCCAGAGCCCGCUGGAGACAGAAGCAGCUGGAGCCAUGCCCGCCACAGCAAGCUGGCCGAGAACUCAUCACCCCGUAAGUUUCCCACUGAGGCUCUUGGGCUCAACAAAUAUGCCUUUGUUGACCCAAUGUCCAGUGGGAAUUCAAGGGGAUUGGGGGUAGGCUUGACGGCCUUCCAGGCCUCCCUGGGAUGGAAGCAGGGUCCAGCCAGGCCCAAUGAAGUCUUGUACUCAAGGUCACACUGUCCUCGGCUCGCUCACAUGGAAAGUGACCCAGAAGGGCCUUUCGGCUCCAGAUCCACCACCAACGGCCCCAGUUUCCUCAUUUCCAACUCAAAUUCAUGCCCAGGGAGUCUGACUAAACCAGGUCAUCCUUCCAAAUGGCAGUCCAGAGGUCACAGCCCCAACCCUGGUCCCUUUCGAUGUAGCCAGGGGGAUAUGGCCCAGGGUUAACCAUUGGUCCAAAGAGAGGUGGACUUGCAGCAGCAACUAACACAUCCAGCAAAAUAGCAUCUGUAGGUGCUGUGCUUGUUGAGGCCAGAGCAAUACUGACAAGGCAUAUUCAGUGAUUAAAACUUUCACGAAUCUGUAGUGUAUUAUUGCUAGUUUAUAGUUCCUCUGGUGGCUCAGCAGUAAAGAAUCCACCUCCCAAUACAGGACACACCGGUUCGAUCCCUGGAGAAGGGCAUGGCAACCCACUCCUGUAUUCUUGCCUGCAGGAUCCCAUGGACAGAGGAGCCUGGCGGGCUACAGUCCAUUGGGUUGCAAAAGAGUCAGACAUAACUCAGUGACUAACCAAUACUGCUAGUUGUAUUUCCCAGUUGCAGAACUGAGACUUAGGGAAUAGGAGUGCUUUUCUCAAGGUCUGGAGCCAGGCGUUGACCCCCAAGUCCCACAGGCAGACCCCCAACAGAGUGCCCAGAAGGCUGGUUAGCAGAACCUCAGAGAGUGGACGUGGGGGACAGAUCUCCAAUAUAGCUCUCUAGCCCCACCUCUGCCCUGAGCCCCAGGUUCGGCUUCAAACACUGUCUUGAUAGCUCUGCUUGGAUGGCCAACAGAUGGUCAGAAAGCCUGUGUCCAGAAACCCUGUGUCCAGACAGCUCUAUCCCAGACCUGUUCCUCUGAACUCUUUUCCAACUCCGUCAAUGGCAGACCCAUCCUUCCAGCUGCUCAGGCCAAAUCGUGUGGCUUCAUCUUUGGAUUCUCUCUCUCUCUCCCCUACAUCCAAUUCCAUCAGCAAAUCCUAUUGGCUGGACUUCAACAUAUAUAAAAAAUCUGACCCCUUCUUACCAUCUUCUUGGCUAAGCCCUUAUCUCCUGCCCAGAUAACUGCAUUAGCCUCCUCGCUGAUAUACCCCUGCUUUUCCCCUUGUCCUUGCCCCAUGCAUUUUCAGCACCGCAGCCCCAGAAACCAAGUGCAAGUCAGACUGUCCUUUUCCUUCAAACCCUCCAAUGGUUUCCAACUCAAGUAGAGUGGAGCUGCUUGUCUUCCGAGGCCCGUCUGAACUCAUGGCCUGUUGUCUGUCUCUCUGAUCUCCUCCUCUAUCUUCUGACACCUCACCACCCCGCUACUCAUUCCACUCCAACCCUGCUCACUUCCCUGCUGUUCACUGGGCAUGCCAAACACACUCCUGCCUCAGGGCCUUUGCACCAGCUGUUCUCUCAGCUUAAGACAUCCUUUCUCUGAAUAUCACUGUGGCC